rnacentral:rRNA from 1 species
AUACGGAGGGUGCAAGCGUUAUUCGGAAUCACUGGGCGUAAAGGACGCGUAGGCGGGUUGGCAAGUCAGAUGUGAAAUCCUACAGCUUAACUGUAGAACUGCAUUGGAAACUUCCAACCUUGAGUAUGGGAGGGGGAGAUGGAAUUAGUGGUGUAGGGGUAAAAUCCGUAGAUAUCACUAGGAAUACCCAAAGCGAAGGCGAUCUCCUGGAACAUUACUGACGCUAAGGCGUGAAAGCGUGGGGAGCAAACGGGAUUAGAAACCCUAGUAGUCC